UAGGGAAUCUUCGGCAAUGGGGGGAACCCUGACCGAGCAACGCCGCGUGAGUGAAGAAGGUUUUCGGAUCGUAAAGCUCUGUUGUUAAGGAAGAACGAGUGUGAGAAUGAAAAGUUCAUACUGUGACGGUACUUAACCAGAAAGGGACGGCUAACUACGUGCCAGCAGCCGCGGUAAUACGUAGGUCCCGAGCGUUGUCCGGAUUUAUUGGGCGUAAAGCGAGCGCAGGCGGUUAGAUAAGUCUGAAGUUAAAGGCAGUGGCUCAACCAUUGUAGGCUUUGGAAACUGUUUAACUUGAGUGCAGAAGGGGAGAGUGGAAUUCCAUGUGUAGCGGUGAAAUGCGUAGAUAUAUGGAGGAACACCGGUGGCGAAAGCGGCUCUCUGGUCUGUAACUGACGCUGAGGCUCGAAAGCGUGGGGAGCGAACAGG
rnacentral:rRNA from 1 species